AGACCCGAAACCCGGUGAUCUAGCCAUGGGCAGGUUGAAGGUUGGGUAACACUAACUGGAGGACCGAACCGACUAAUGUUGAAAAAUUAGCGGAUGACCUGUGGCUGGGGGUGAAAGGCCAAUCAAACCGGGAGAUAGCUGGUUCUCCCCGAAAGCUAUUUAGGUAGCGCCUCGUGAAUUCAUCUCCGGGGGUAGAGCACUGUUUCGGCCAGGGGGCCAUCCCGGCUUACCAACCCGAUGCAAACUGCGAAUACCGGAGAAUGUUAUCACGGGAGACACACGGCGGGUGCUAACGUCCGUCGUGAAGAGGGAAACAACCCAGACCGCCAGCUAAGGUCCCAAAGUCAUGGUUAAGUGGGAAACGAUGUGGGAAGGCCCAGACAGCCAGGAUGUUGGCUUAGAAGCAGCCAUCAUUUAAAGAAAGCGUAAUAGCUCACUGGUCGAGUCGGCCUGCGCGGAAGAUGUAACGGGGCUAAACCAUGCACCGAAGCUGCGGCAGCGAACGUAUCACUUAAAGCGAUUCAGCGGAUGACGAUUGACGGAGCGAAGCGACGUCAAAGCGUUUUACAACGUCGAGUCGGUUUAAGGAUACGUUCGUUGGGUAGGGGAGCGUUCUGUAAGCCUGCGAAGGUGUGCUGUGAGGCAUGCUGGAGGUAUCAGA
rnacentral:rRNA from 1 species